UACGGAGGAUCCAAGCGUUAUCCGGAUUUAUUGGGUUUAAAGGGUGCGUAGGCGGUUUGUUAAGUUAGAGGUGAAAUACCGGAGCUCAACUCCGGAACUGCCUCUGAUACUGGCAGGCUAGAGUAUAGUUGCUGUGGGCGGAAUGUAUGGUGUAGCGGUGAAAUGCUUAGAGAUCAUACAGAACACCGAUUGCGAAGGCAGCUCACAAAGCUAUUACUGACGCUGAGGCACGAAAGCGUGGGUAGCAAACAGG
rnacentral:rRNA from 1 species